GCUCGGCGAAGCUCUGGGAUCGGACUAGGGCGGGCCUGGCGGCUGCAGGGGACUUAAAGGGGCGGGACGCGGCCGCAAGCCACGCCCCAGCACACCACGCGGGGUCGCCCUUCUAGGCCUCCCGCGGUGCCUCCGCCCUUAGACCGCCCCGGGUCCUGCGUUCCUCCUCUUCCAACUGGGUCCCGUGUCGUGUGCUGGGCUCCCUCUGGUCUUAAAACUUGGGCACCCUAAGAUGCUGGGCAUUCUCUAGAAUGUUUAACUUCGGUCCUAAGUACUGUAGGCCACUCCCCAGCAGCUUGGAAGUCCCACUUGGGGUCUGCUCUCCAUUCUAAGAAACUCCCCGGCGCAGCUCCUCUCCGCAAACCCGGAGGGAAGUCCCCUCUCCACCCGCCCACCCCUAGUCUGGUGCACAAAAGAGGCAGAGGGAGAGGUGAUGGAGAUGUUUAUUGGUGCGGUUCACAGUGAGGCCACGCAGUCGGUGCCAGUAUAUUUUGGUAGGUGCAGGCCAAACUUUCGGCGCACGUCGUCAGGCACGAACCUGCCGGCUACGAAGUGGUGGCGUCCGGAGAAGCGGCCGGCGCAGCUCUUGGGCGCCGCAAAGGACACCAGCACAUCGGGCUGCACUUCGUCCCUCGAGUCGCCACCGGCCUCGGCAUCCCAGCCUGAGGGCGGAAGAGGGGAAGCUGAGGUCCCCGGGCCCCGGACCAAGUCUGCCCUGCCUCUCUCCACGCACGCGGGUAGCGGUCAGACCUGCUGACCGCAGAGCUGCCUCCACCCUCCGACCACACCAUUUCCAGCGCUAACCUGCCAAGACCCAGCCUUUGCCUCCUGAACCGUGUCUCCUUCCGCAGCGGUCAGGAGCCGCCUCGCUCAAAUCAGACCUUCUUCACCCACCUCAGGUCUGACCUCAGCCUCCUCCUUCCCCGACUGAGUCUCCACCCUGCACUGUGUCCCGAGACUCCCUCCUUCAGAACUGUGCCCCCAUAUUCCCACCGGAUUUGAUCUCCCCUUACGAUCUGAGACGUCUUGGCUCUCUGAACGCCCACCCCCCCCGCCCCGUGUUACGUUUGUCAGGACUCUGCCCUCUCCCCAGACCACCAGGAGUUUCGGUUCCACCCAGUCCACGAACCAGCAACCCAGACUUCUCUCCUGCCUCAUGCACUAACGAGAGCCGCGGGCUCCUCUCUCUAACUAGAGGCUUCCAACUGCAGGAUCUCUCCUUUUUCCGGGACCACCUACUGUCUCCCCCUCGAACUAGAUAAUGCCUCGGCUUUGGUCCGGAAUGGUCCUGGAGCCAUCUAGCUGGGGACACCCCCACGCAGUCCCCACGGGAGGCUGAGCGCUGUUUGUCCCUAGCAGCUCUGGCCUGGCAGGCGUGGCCUCUGCCGAGUGAGCUCACGUCUGUCCAGCAACAGGGCCGGUGGUGGGUGGUGCCCAUGGAGCUGAGCACCCGGACCAAGGGGACACCGAGUCACUUGGGGCAGCCACUUGUAUCGCUCCCAUCAUCAGGGCGGGUGUGAAACAGGAUGAGGGCAGACGCGGGAACUGAGGUUGAAAGAGUUGGACAAGGAAAACCGGGGGCGGAGGGAGGUGCAGAGGGGAGGAUUUGGGAUGGAUGGAAAAAACCGGCUAGGGUAACCAGGCUGCCCCUGGGUGGCGUGCCUGAGGGGACGUCCAGGCUCACAAGCGGGAUGGAGAGUCGCCUUAGCGUGGCCAGCGCGCGCGCGCAGUGCCCGCCUGCUUCCGCCAGCUGCACCCCCGGCCCGAGCACAGCGUCCACCACCAGCCCGUGCCUGGCACACGCCAGCCCAACGGCGCCAUUCUGCUCCGGGCCGCACACGACCAGCACCGUCCUCUGCUUCCACGACAGUGAGGGCAAGGGGAACGCCUGAGACAUAGCACAGCAGAGAGGUUUGAUGGGACGGGUGGGGUGGGCAUAGGGACAUAGCGGGAGCAGAGAGGUGGUCUGCGUGCCGGGCAGGCAGGCGGGCUCAGCCAGAGUGCGAGCCAGGCCUCUGCGCCCAGUCCCAGUGUGGUUUGUUUACUCAGUACGCACUUAGGAUACAUUCCCACUUCCCUCACCCAACUCCCUCAAAAAGGUGAAAAGUGUGGUGAUCCCAGAAGGAUGCCCCCAAUUCGGCAAGAGUGGCGCCUAGUCCAUCUGUUUCUGCCCCACUAUUUCCUGUCAGUCUGCUUUCUAUUUCAAACAAUCAGUCUGCGCCUAAUUCUUGUUGUUUUAGAGGUUCCUCAGUCUAACUCGGGCUGGUCUUGAACUUGCAGCAAUUCUGCCUCAGCCCCCAACUGUAGAGUUAGCAGCUGUGAACCACCACGAGAGCAAGCUGGGCUACUGAAUACAGCCAGCUAAGUGGCUCAGCUGAUAAAGAACUUGCCACCAA